rnacentral:rRNA from 1 species
UCAAGCUACUAAGGGCAUACGGUGGAUGCCUAGGCGCCAAGAGCCGAAGAAGGACGCGGUAAGCUGCGAAAAGCCACGGGGAACUGCAAGCAAGUAUUGAUCCGUGGAUAUCCGAAUGGGGAAACCCGGCCAUCGUCAUGGAUGGUCACCCGCAAGGGAGGGAACCUGGGGAACUGAAACAUCUAAGUACCCGGAGGAAGAGAAAUCAAACGAGAUGCCCACAGUAGCGGCGAGCGAAGAGGGCAGAGCCCAAACCGAGAAGCUCCGGCUUUUCGGGGUUGAGGACCGGCAGAAUCGAAGUCAGGCCUAGUUGAAUUACCUGGAAAGGUAAGCGAGAGAGGGUAAAAGCCCCGUAGACGAAAGGCAGAGCAGAGAGGCCGAGAUCCAGAGUACCACGAAGCACGAGGAAUUUUGUGGGAAGCAGGGGGGACCACCCUCCAAGGCUAAAAACUACUUGGCGACCGAUAGCGCAUAGUACCGUGAGGGAAAGGUGAAAAGAACCCCGGGAGGGGAGUGAAAUAGUACCUGAAACCGUAUGUCUACAAGCAGUCGAAGCGAAAGCGACGGCGUGCCUAUUGAAGAAUGAACCAACGAGUUAUCUGCACUAGCGAGGUUAAGUGGAAGACACGGAGCCGCAGCGAAAGCGAGUCUUAAGAGGGCGCUAGUUAGUGUAGGUAGACCCGAAACCGCAGUGAUCUACCCAUGUCCAGGUUGAAGCGCAGGUAAAAUUGCGUGGAGGACCGAACCGGUGAGCGUUGAAAAGCUUUCGGAUGAGAUGUGGGUAGGGGUGAAAUUCCAAUCGAACGCGGAGAUAGCUGGUUCUCCCCGAAAUAGCUUUAGGGCUAGCCUGAGGUAGUAAGUAUAGGCGGUAGAGCACUGAUCGGGCUAGGGGCCGUAAAGGUUACCGAACCCUGUCAAACUCCGAAUGGAUAUACUGUAGAGCCUUGGAGUCAGACUACGAGUGAUAAGAUCCGUGGUCAAAAGGGAAACAGCCCAGACCACCAGCUAAGGUCCCCAAUGUCGUACUAAGUGGAAAAGGAUGUGGGGUUUCAUAAACAACCAGGAUGUUGGCUCAGAAGCAGCCACCAUUUAAAGAGUGCGUAAUAGCUCACUGGUCGAGAGACCCUGCGCCGAAGAUUCCCGGGGCUAAAGUACGAAACCGAAGCUGUGGCUGUAUACGUAAAGUAUACGGGGUAGGGGAGCGUUCCCAUAGGGUAGAAGUCGAACUGGAAGGUUCGGUGGACUUGUGGGAAGUGAGAAUGUUGGUAUGAGUAGCGAAAAGAAAGGUGAGAAUCCUUUCCACCGAAAGCAUAAGGAUUCCUGAGCAACGAUCGUCGUCUCAGGGUAAGUCGGGACCUAAUCCGAGGCAGAGAGCGUAGGAGAUGGACAACUGGUUGAUAUUCCAGUACCGGUAGUAAUUGUUUGAGCAAUGGAGUGACACAGAAGGGCAGGCAAGCAUGCGAAUGGAAGAGCAUGUGUAAGCGUGUAGGGUGGUGCAUAGGCAAAUCCGUGCACUGAAAGCCUGAGGCGUGAUGCGGAGUGAGCAGAGAUGCGAGCGAAGUUGUUGACCCCACACUGUCGAGAAAAGCUUCUAGUGAGAGAGCUACCGCCCGUACCGUAAACCGACACAGGUAUGCGGGGAGAGAAUCCUAAGGUGCGCGGGAGAACCCUCGUUAAGGAACUCGGCAAAAUGUACCCGUAACUUCGGGAUAAGGGUAGCCACUGUUGUGAAGUCCCAUGCGGAUGGAGCAUAGAGUGGUCGCAGAGAAGAGGCCCAAGCGACUGUUUACCAUAAACACAGGUGCCUGCUAAAGCGAAAGCUGACGUAUAGGUGCUGACACCUGCCCAGUGCCGGAAGGUUAAGGAAGGAUGUUCGGAUUAGUCCAAAGCAUUCGACUGAAGCCCCGGUGAACGGCGGCCGUAACUAUAACGGUCCUAAGGUAGCGAAAUUCCUUGUCGGGUAAGUUCCGACCCGCACGAAAGGUGUAACGAUUUGGGCACUGUCUCAACGAGGGACCCGGUGAAAUUGAAAUACCUGUGAAGAUGCAGGUUACCCGCGACUGGACAGAAAGACCCCAUGGAGCUUUACUGUAACCUGACAUUGGGUUUUGAUACAUUACGUACAGGAUAGGUGGGAGGCAUGGAAAGCUGGACGCUAGUCUGGCUGGAGCCGACGUUGGGAUACCACCCUUGAUGUAUUGAAAUUCUAACCGCGAGAGUAACGAAAUCCGGGACAGUGUCAGGCGGGCAGUUUGACUGGGGCGGUCGCCUC